rnacentral:rRNA from 1 species
CAGUAGCCGCGGGAAUACGUAGGGUGCGAGCGUUAAUCGGAAUUACUGGGCGUAAAGCGUGCGCAGGCGGUUCGUUAAGACAGAUGUGAAAUCCCCGGGCUUAACCUGGGAACUGCAUUUGUGACUGACGGGCUAGAGUAUGGCAGAGGGGGGUAGAAUUCCACGUGUAGCAGUGAAAUGCGUAGAGAUGUGGAGGAAUACCGAUGGCGAAGGCAGCCCCCUGGGCCAAUACUGACGCUCAUGCACGAAAGCGUGGGGAGCAAACAGGAUUAGAUACCCGCGUAGUCCCUGUCUCUUAUAA